CUAAACCCUUCAGAAGAUGAAUCAAUAAAACAGUGAAGUGGAUCGGCGUCAGCGGUCGAGCGGCAGGUCGUAUGGACUACCUGCGGUGGCGGUCUCCUCUGUACAGGGCCGACAGGGAAUCGAACCUGUGCCACGCUGUUUCCUGCUGCAGGUAGAAAACGCCUGCAGGGAGAACGGAGUCAACUUCUUUAUUCUUUUUCAAUAAUUUCUGUGGAGAAAAGUUGCGGCCUCACGUCUUCUUCACACACAAGAUGAGUUCUCACCUGUUUGUCCUCCGCUGCCGUUUGCCCAUGAUGACCUCUGACCUCUGACCCUCUCAAAAGAAUCACAACAACAUGGAGGAAGUCAAAGUUAUAACAAUGUAAUAAACUAUAGUGACACAAACAA